CAGCGCCGGCUCCCCCGCCCUCGGACUCUUCGUCUCUCCUCCACCCACGUCCGACCACAAACUCCGAGAUUAUCGGAAACACUACCGCCGCCAUGGAUUUGGCUCCUUCCCUCGGUGGUGCAUUUGGCCUAACUUCCCCUGCCGAGCUCUCGUCUUCCCUCUCCACUUUACAUGCUUUGAUCUAUUUCGUGCUCCUGCAGUUGGCUGCCGUGACCUUGGUGAGAUCUGGCGCGGUCUGAUCUUGGUGAGAUCUGGCGCGGUCUGAUCUUGGUGAGUUGUUCUGGAUAAUGGUCGCUGACUCAAGAUCGGAGGAGAAAGGACCAGACGGUAUUCGGUGCUGCCAUGCCAUAUUGCUCUAUUUCGAGGCUUCCAUGUUCAAAAAGAUAAGGUCUACCUCGUUGGCCACGAGUUGGUUGAUGAAGGAGGCACGGCGCCCGGUAAUGUGCGACAUGUGCAUGGACAAACUUAUUUAGUGGCAUUUAGCAUUAAGGUAAGAUGACCUAUGGCGAUGAGCGCUAUGAUCAAGAUGGCGAUGAACAUUAUGAUCAAGAUGGCGAUGGAAUUGGUGAUUAAUGUGGUGAUGAUGGUGAAGAUUACUGAAGGUCUAACGACUUUUAAGUCAGUCAACAAACAGAUGUGCUGAAAAAUAUUUGGACCAUUAGUUGUUGUUCUUUUUGUAUUCCAAAGUUCCUAGAUAUAUGAACAUAUACU